CUUGGUCAUUUAGAGGAAGUAAAAGUCGUAACAAGGUUUCCGUAGGUGAAUCUGCGGAAGGAUCAUUAGUGAACGCCCUCACGGGCUUAUAACUAUUCCAAACCUCUGUGAACCGUGCCCUUCGGGGCUAUUUUACAAACAUGGUGUAAUGAACGUCAUAUAUCAUAACAAAACAAAACUUUCAACAACGGAUCUCUUGGCUCUCGCAUCGAUGAAGAACGCAGCGAAAUGCGAUAAGUAAUGUGAAUUGCAGAAUUCAGUGAAUCAUCGAAUCUUUGAACGCACCUUGCGCCCUCUGGUAUUCCGGAGGGCAUGCCUGCUUGAGUGUCAUGUAGACUCAAUCCCUCGGGUUUUCGAGGAGAUUGGACUUGGGUGUUGCCGCUCUGCCGGCUCGCCUUAAAAGACUUAGCGGGAUAGCACCGUAGUCGGCGUAAUAAGUUUCGUCGGUGAAGGUUGUGAUGACUGCUUACAAUCGCCCUCGGGCAAUUUUUGACUCUGACCUCAAAUCAGGUAGGACUACCCGCUGAACUUAAGCAUAUCAAUAAGCGGAGGA
rnacentral:rRNA from 1 species